CGAGUGUCAAAUAAAUUGCAUCUAAAACCGGUCUUCAUAAGGCCUAUUCUUUUUAACUGAACUUCUUGCACGGCUCAUCUUUUCUCUUUUUCUCUCUCCAACGCG